rnacentral:rRNA from 1 species
CCUACGGGAGGCAGCAGUGGGGAAUAUUGCACAAUGGGGGAAACCCUGAUGCAGCGACGCCGCGUGAGUGAGGAAGUUUUUCGGUUUGUAAAGCUCUGUCAGCAGGGAAGAAAAUGACGUUACCUAACUAAGAAGCCACGGCUAACUACGUGCAAGCAGCCGCGGUCAUACGGAGGGGGCGAGCGUUAUCCGGAUUUACUGGUGGUAAAGGGAGGGUAGACGGUUAAUCAAGUCAGAAGUGAAAACCCAGUGCUUAACCUGGGGACUGCGUUUGAAACUGAGGAGCUAGAGUGUAGGAGAGGUAAGCGGAAUUCCUAGUGUAGCGGUGAAAUGCGUAGAUAUUAGGAGGAACACCAGUGGCGAAGGCGGCUUACUGGACUGUAACUGACGUUGAGGCUCGAAAGCGUGGGGAGCAAACAGGAUUAGAUACCCUAGUAGUC